GGAAUAGGCCUACAAAUUGGUUCUUUGAAAGGAAGGUUACCCCUACCAAGUCUCUCUUGUGUAUUUCAGAUUUGAGGUGGAUUAAACAACUUAAUUAUAAAGCUUUAAAACCUUUGUUUCAUCCUAGAGAAGCUCACAUAUUUGCCUUUUUUAUAUGUUUAGGACUUACAAGCCAUUUUACCUUCAGCUCCCCAGUAUGCCUUGUAUAAACUACUUCCUUCAGAAGCCUUGCAGUCCGUUUGAUAUCGAUAAGUCAUCUAGCAUGCAGAAACACACUCAGCCUAAACUCAAAAUUAAUACGGAUGGCGAUAAAUAUGGAACCCCAGCUCAAGUCCAGUUGAAGGAAAAGA
rnacentral:sRNA from 1 species